rnacentral:rRNA from 2 species
GGCGCGGCUGUCGGCGAUCCAGGAUCAACUGAUCGCGAGCCGCAUCGACGACCUGAUCGUCCACGAGACGGCGCCGUUCGCGAGCGAGACGGCGCUGGCCCGCGUGCAUACGCAGGCGCACAUCGAUUACAUCCGCAGCCGGAUUCCGAAGGAUGGGUACGUCGAGAUCGAUCCCGACACGUCGCUGAACCGCUACACAUGGCGCGCGGCGCUGCGCGCGGCCGGCGCGGCCGUCGAGGCGACGGACGCGGUGCUCGAAGGCCGCUACGACAACGCGUUCUGCAGCGUGCGCCCGCCGGGCCAUCAUGCGGAACCCGCGCGCGCGAUGGGCUUCUGUUUCUUCAACAACGUCGCGAUCGCCGCGCGCCACGCGCUCGAGAUCCACGGCCUCGAGCGCGUCGCGAUCAUCGAUUUCGACGUCCAUCACGGCAACGGCACCGAGGCCGCGUUCGCGAACGACGAGCGCGUGCUGAUGUGCAGCUUCUUCCAGCAUCCGCUGUAUCCGUUUUCGGGCGUCGACCACCAGGCGCCGAACAUGGUCAAUCUGCCGAUGGCCGCGCGCACCAACGGGAUGGCGGUGCGCGAGGCGGUCGAUCUGAUGUGGCUGCCGCGGCUCGAUGCGUUCAGGCCGCAGAUGCUGUUCGUGUCGGCGGGGUUCGACGCGCACCGCGAGGACGACAUCGGCGGGAUGGGGCUCGUCGAGGCCGACUACGAGUGGCUCACGCAGCAGAUCUGCGAAGUCGCGCGGAGGCAUGCGCAAGGCCGGAUCGUGAGCUGCCUCGAAGGCGGCUACAACCUGUCCGCGCUCGGGCGAAGCGUGGUCGCGCAUCUGCGCGUGCUCGCCGGCGUGUGAACGCGUCGCGUGUGCGCGGAGGGUGACGCGAGCGCCGGCGCCCCGCGCCCGGCCAGUGGGCGUCGGCCGCGCGGCAUGCCGCGACACACAUCGGCGGAUACCGCGGGAUAUCGGAGGGAAGACACGUUGGCGCGCGUCGCAUGCAUCGGCAUCGCCGGCGCUGCGGCGACAUGCGGCGGCGGCGCCCGCUCCAGGCGGUCGCGCUCGAACGUUCGAGCGGCGGCGAUCGCCGCGGCGCGAUGGCACUAUCGCGCCAUCCGCGUGAAACGAUCGGCGCGCCGCAUGCCGUCGACGCCGAUCCGUCUUCGCUUUCGCGCGACGCGCUCCGGCCGUUGUUCCGCGUCAACCGCGAGCCGGCACGCGCGCGGCGAUCCAGUCGAUCAGCGCGCCGAUCACCCGCUCGCGUUCCAGAUCGUUCAUCGUCUCGUGAUAGUUGCCUUCGUAUAGCGUGAGCGUGCGAUCGGGCGAGCCGACGUGCGCGCCGAAGUCGCGGCUGCCGUCGGGCUCGGUCAGCUUGUCGGCGGUGCCGUGAUAGACGAGGACGGGGAUGCGCAGCGCCGCGCGGCCGGCCGCGAUUCGUCGCAUCGCGUCGAGAAUCUCGGCGCCCGUGCGCGCCGGCACCGAGCCGUGAUGGACGAGCGGAUCGGCGCGAUUCGCGGCGACCACGGCCGGAUCGCGCGACAGCAAUGCGGCGUCGAUCUUGAGCGCCGGAAAGCGAGGCCACACGCGGCUGAUGAAGCGGCUCAUCGCGAGCAUCCAUUGCGGCACGUCGCGCCCCGGCGCGAGCGCGGGGCUCGACAGGAUCAGGCCCGCCAGGUUCGCGUGGCGCGCGGCCGCGCGCUCGAUCGCAUAGAGCGCGGCGAUUGCGCCGCCCAUGCUGUGCCCCAUCAGGAAGAGCGGCGUGUUCUCGCGCGCGGCGCUCGCGACGAGCGCGUCCGCGUCGUCCAGAUACCGGUCGAAGCGCUCGGCCCAUGCGCGUUCGCCGGGCGAGCGCCCGUGGCCGCGCAGAUCGAUCGCGACGACUUCGAUGCCCGCCGCGUUCAGCCGCUCGGCGAACGCCUGAUAGCGUCCCGCGUGCUCGGCGAGCCCGUGCACGAGCGCGACGGUCGCGCGCGGCGCGGCGCACGAAGGCGCGGUAGACGGCCAACGGUAGCACGCGAGCUCGAGCCUGUCGGCGGUACGCACGCGCGUGGGCUGAGGGGCGGCGCGGGAAGCGUCGGCCGAGCGGGGCGAAGUCGGGGCAGCAGCGUCCAUGGCGGGCGUCUCCGUGGCGUGUCGUGACGAAGGAAUGAGAAAUGCGCUCGAUCAUAGACGCCGUCCGCGGCGAACCGCGCGGGCUUCGUCCUCUAAUCGCGUUUGGUUAUGAAAAGGUGGAAAUCGAUUAUUAAGGGAAAUGUGGCGAAUGCGGUAAACUCGCGGGUUAUUCCCUAGAUGCGGCGGCGGUCGACAGCGAAGCCCGGCACAUCCGGCUGCGCCGUUCCGCCGUUUUUUACAUGAUCGAAAUUCGCAACCUUUCGCAGCGUUUCGAGGGGCCUCGCGGCUGGAUCGAAGCGCUGCACAACGUCAAUCUGACGAUUCCGCAGGGCGAGGUAUUCGGCAUCAUCGGCCGCAGCGGCGCGGGCAAGAGCACGCUCGUGCGCACGAUCAACCUGCUCACGCGGCCGUCCGAGGGCAGCGUGUUCGUCGGCGGGCGCGACCUGACGCAAUUGUCGGCGGCCGAACUGCGCGGCGCGCGGCGCGAUAUCGGGAUGAUCUUCCAGCACUUCAAUCUGCUGUCGUCGCGCACCGUGUUCGACAACGUCGCGCUGCCGCUCGAGCUCGCCGGCGUGAAGCGCGCGCAAAUCGAGGCGACCGUGCUGCCGCUACUCGAUCUGGUCGGCCUCGCCGCGCAGAAGGACCGCUAUCCGGCGCAGAUCAGCGGCGGGCAGAAGCAGCGCGUCGGCAUCGCGCGCGCGCUCGCGAGCAAGCCGAAGGUGCUGCUGUCCGACGAAGCGACGUCCGCGCUCGACCCCGAGACGACCCGCGCGAUUCUCGAUCUGCUGCGCCGCAUCAACCGCGAGCUC